rnacentral:rRNA from 1 species
GUCUUAUUGAGUAUAAUUUUAAGUCUGACCUGCCCACUGAUUUUUAAAUGGCCGCGGUAUUUUGACCGUGCAAAGGUAGCAUAAUCAUUAGUUUUUUAAUUGAAAGCUGGAAUGAAAGGUUGAAUGAAAAAAUAACUGUCUCUAUUUAAAUUUUAGAAUUUUAUUUUUAAGUUAAAAAGCUUAAAUUUGAUUAAAAGACGAGAAGACCCUAUAGAGUUUUAUAUUAAAUUAUAAAUAUUUUUUUAAGAAUUAAUAAUUUAUUUAUUUUUUAAUAUUAGGUUGGGGUGAUUGAAAAAUUUAAUAAACUUUUUUUAUAUAUUUACAUUUAUUUAUGAAAUUUUGAUCCAUUAUUAAUGAUUAUAAGAAUAAAUUACCUUAGGGAUAACAGCGUUAUUUUUUUUAAGAGUUCUUAUCGAAAAAAAAGUUUGCGACCUCGAUGUUGGAUUAAAAUUAAAUUUUGGUGUAGAAGCUAAAAAAUUUAGGUCUGUUCGACCUUUAAAAUUUUACA